ensembl:lncRNA
AUGGAGAGGGGAGGUCGGGGGACAGAAGACAUCAGGAUGUCUAAAGCAGCAGAGGAGGAGAAGCCUGGGACUGAGUAUCCAGGGGACAGUUCAGACUCUAACAGGAACAGCCCCGAUGACCAGGUCCAGCCGAUGAAAACAAGCCCUUCAGACGUCUCCCCAACACGGACCGUCAGCAAGGGAAAAGGCGAGGAAAGCUGUGAGAUGAUCCACACCACCAUCCCCCCUGCUCCACCUACACCUCCCUCCCAGCAACAGCUACAGCAGCAGCAACAGCUACAGCUACAACAGCAGCAGCAACAGCAGCAGCAACAGCAGCAACAGCUGCAACAGCUGCAACAGCACCAACAGCAGCAACAGCAGCAGCAACAGCAGCAACACCACCAGCUGAUGCUGGCUGGCAGUCAGCUAGCAGGGGUGAGACAUCACACACGCACAAUGUGUAUGAAUGAAAUAAUGCAGGCGGAAAGGUUUGACCCUGUUAUUGUCCAACAAUAGCAACUCUAUUUCACAGAUUUCCAAGCUGGACAUUUUUACUUUAUGUGAACAUUGAUUUGUACAGAAAACAAAUGGAUUUUCACAUCUGUGUCUAAAUGAAGUUGAGUUAAAUGUUCUGUGAAUGAAGUAAACAGCAUUCAUAUGAGCGACACUGUGUUCACUUGUUAAUGUUAAGCUCAGAGGAAUGUUGUGUCAACGGUAGGAAAACAUUCAGUAAAACAACAUGCCUGCCCUGAGGAUAGUCGCUGUGUGGGUGUGUGUAGGUUAAGCGAGAGGCUCCUGUCUAGGUUCUGGUAACAGUUUAGGCUACACAUCCAUUCCUGGAAAGUUGCUCCUUGUU